GCCUCCUUAGUUCAAUGGCAGAACAGUGCUUUUGUAAAGCACAUAUGCGGGUUCGAUUCCUGCAGGAGGCU
rfam:Candidatus Doudnabacteria bacterium RIFCSPHIGHO2_01_FTLL_49_9 rifcsphigho2_01_scaffold_7791, whole genome shotgun sequence.